rnacentral:rRNA from 1 species
GACGAACGCUGGCGGCGUGCUUAACACAUGCAAGUCGAACGAAGCACUCUAUUUGAUUUUCUUCGGGAAUGAAGAUUUUGUGACUGAGUGGCGGACGGGUGAGUAACGCGUGGGUAACCUGCCUCAUACAGGGGGAUAACAGUUGGAAACGACUGCUAAUACCGCAUAAGCGCACAGGACCGCAUGGUCCGGUGUGAAAAACUCCGGUGGUAUGAGAUGGACCCGCGUCUGAUUAGCUAGUUGGUGAGGUAACGGCCCACCAAGGCGACGAUCAGUAGGGGUUCUGAGAGGAAGGUCCCCCACAUUGGAACUGAGACACGGUCCAAACUCCUACGGGAGCAGCAGUGAGGAAUAUUGGUCAAUGGGCAGAGCCUGACCAGCCAAGUAGCGUGCAGGACGACGGCCCUAUGGGUUGUAAACUGCUUUUAUAAGGGAAUAAAGUGAGUCUCGUGAGACUUUUUGCAUGUACCUUAUGAAUAAGGACCGGCUAAUUCCGUGCCAGCA